CCUACGGGAGGCAGCAGUUAGGAAUAUUGGACAAUGGGGGCAACCCUGAUCCAGCCAUGCCGCGUGUGUGAAGAAGGCCUUAGGGUUGUAAAGCACUUUCAGCUGUGAAGAUAAUGACAGUAGCAGAAGAAGAAGCUCCGGCUAAAUUCGUGCCAGCAGCCGCGGUAAUACGAAUGGAGCGAGCGUUGUUCGGAAUCACUGGGCGUAAAGGGUGCGCAGGCGGUCAUGAAAGUUAGAAGUGAAAUCCCAGGGCUUAACCCUGGAAUGGCUUUUAAAACUCCAUGACUAGAGUACUGGAGAGGUUGGCGGAAUUCCGAGUGUAGAGGUGAAAUUCGCAGAUAUUCGGAGGAACACCAAUGGCGUAGGCAGCCAACUGGACAGUAACUGACGCUCAUGCACGAAAGCGUGGGGAUCAAACAGGAUUAGAUACCCUGGUAGUCCACGCCCUAAACGAUGUGUGCUAGUUGUCGGGUUCUUAGAACUCGGUGACGCAGCUAACGCUUUAAGCACACCGCCUGGGGGAGGUACGGUCGCGAGAAGUUAAACUAACUAAAUAGUUAAGUUAGUACGGCGUUGAGACGUUGCCGACGGACGACGACGAGGGAGGAGG
rnacentral:rRNA from 1 species